AAUGUGCACACACUAAAGCAAAAGUUCAUCCUUUAUGUACUUUAAAGACAUGAACAUUCAUAAAUUUUCCAGGAAGUCUCCACCUUUCUGCCUAUCAGAUUUACAUCAUGCUGCAGUUGCAAAACUACACGACGCAUGCGCAGGGGUCUCGGGUGGUUGUUGGUGGUCAUCUGGGGAGUUAGCCCCCUACUCCUUUUUCCCUUUUAGGGUCACGAGCCUUUUGAGAACAAUUUCUUCUCCUUGGAUGUUUUCCAGCUCUGUUGUCCAGUCAAGAUGUUCUUUCUUAUCCACCUUCUUUGAGUAUUUCUGCCAGGAUGUGUGUUUUCAAGCCAGGUUCUGUGGAAACGGGGUGUGUGCGCAGCUUUGUGUUGCAUGGCUCAAAUCCAAGCGCUGGCAGGACGCUGCUUGGUGGAAGGUUGUCGUCUGGAAUUCAUCACCGGAAGGAGUCGGCACCGCCUGUGAAAUCCUGGGUCUUGCUGGAGAAGUUCUCAAUCCCGUUCACCUAUGUUACCAGUGGAGGAUUGAACUUGCGGUGAAGGCAACAAGUGUCUGUUCUUGCUAGUUUUGUGAAAGUUACAGGAUCUCACUGUAAAAGAAACCUACCAGUUUGUACUCAGAACGUACAAGAGGGAUGGAUUAAUAUAAGAUACGUGAGCAAUAUCCUACAGACAGUUGAGGUAAGAGUUUUGCUUGAAGGGAGGAAUUGACCUAAUCUCUUGUUUGAAAACAUCUAGCAAAGUUGAGCAGUUUGUUUGGACAGAACCAGCUGUGUUACAGCUGUUCUGUGUUCUCAUUAUUAACCCCUGCAGAGGGUGAGUGGGCAGAUUUCUUCCUCUGCUAAUCACCCCCAUACUGUAUAUUCCAUAUGUACCACUGAGA